GGAGGGAAUUUCCGUCCGGUGACGGGCGCGGGCUUCAAACCCGUCGAGGGGCGCGUGGCGUGCCUGGUGGGUUCGACUCCCACUUCCUUCCGCCA
rnacentral:tRNA from 1 species